rnacentral:tRNA from 2 species
GCCGAAGUGGCGGAAUUGGCAGACGCGCACGGUUCAGGACCGUGUCCCUUUAGGGAAUGCGGGUUCGACUCCCGCCUUCGGCACCG